rnacentral:rRNA from 1 species
UUAACUUUUCAAAAGUUUUUUAAUUAGAAACCCNUNUUUUUUCCCCGNCNCUGUUUGAUAACAUAGUNNAAAAAUAAACACUUCUCCCUUCCGUAUGNCCCCCGUGCCCCCGCCUUGCCCGCCGCGCGCGGCGGGCGGGGCGGGGGCACGGGGGGCCUACGGGAGGCAGCAGUGGGGAAUCUUGGACAAUGGGGGCAACCCUGAUCCAGCCAUGCCGCGUGUGUGAAGAAGGCCUUCGGGUUGUAAAGCACUUUCAGUAGGGAGGAAGGCUUNUCCUUAAUACGGAUGAGUACUGA